UACGUAGGGGGCAAGCGUUAUCCGGAUUUACUGGGUGUAAGGGGAGCGUAGGUGGCAUGGUAAGCCAGAAGUGAAAACCCAGGGCUCAACUCUGUGGAUUGCUUUUGGAACUAUCAAGCUAGAGUGCUGGAGGGGUAAGCGGAAUUCCUAGUGUAGCGGUGAAAUGCGUAGAUAUUAGGAGGAACACCGGUGGCGAAGGCGGCUUACUGGACAGAAACUGACACUGAGGCUCGAAAGCGUGGGGAGCAAACAGG
rnacentral:rRNA from 1 species